AGCCGAAGAGUGACUUCGACCUGACAGACCCUAAUGGCUACCUGUUGAGUUCUGAGUACAGCAGCCUUCACGAUCCCAACCUCAGUAACUACCUCCACCGCAAGGACAUCCACCAACGCCUCCUUGAUCUGGGCUUCAUCACCAAGGAACAGAAAAUUAUUUGUUCACUCAAGGAGUUGAACCGCUACAGAGAUCACCUAGUGGAGGUGGAGUUGGACUGGAGUCGCAGAUUCCUGACAGAACAGAAAGAGUUGGUGCGUAAGUUUCUGAACCUCAAACAGCAAGGUCAGAUUCCAGAGCAUAUAAGCUUGUCUGAUGUCACAGAAUGGUUACUGCACAGAGGAAGGAGACUCUUCAGCAAGCGGCAGCAGGCCAUCAUGACCAGGAGCUUUCCUGAUAACUAUACCAGACUGCCCAAGAUUGCAAUGAGAAGCAACGUGGUGGAUCUAGUCUGCUGCCCCAGCUCCCCCUGCAGGUCAAAAAGAAUAUGGAAUGCCAAGGGCCGUGCAUUGCUACAUGAGGUCACCAAGGAGGUGAAGAGAGAGAUGCGGCUGGAGCAACACAUGCUCACAAACCGACAGAAGAAGGAAAAAGCGAACCAAGAGAAACAACAGAAGAGAAUGUGUUUCAAAGGCUGCAAAAAGAAGAGGCAUUCCCUGACCAAGACAGAUCCACAAGACAGCCCUGAGAGCAUGGGAAAUACUUUUGGAUCAGAUCCUGACAACACACAAGUUGAUCUGGUUGGCUGUGCUACAACAAGUAUCUCAGCUCAUCAACCCUCAUCAAACCCAGAGCAGAAGUGUGAGGGACUCUCUGCUGUGUGCCAAGACAUGAUUGAAUCAAUGAAUCAGAAAUCCCCCAUCUCUUACCACAACCUCUGUGCUAAGGGACCAGGGCUUGUUGACACUAUUUCCUCCUCCCUGAUCCCCCGUGGCAUUCUGCUUGGACAAGGUGGCUACCUUCAGUCUAUAACCAAGCAACUGUCUGAAAUGUACGUCUGCAAUUGACAUUUUCUUUUCAUGUACUUCCAUCCCUGCAGUAGCACUCCGGAGACUCAUAGAAUCUAUGCCAUGGUGCAUUGACACUUUUCUGCCGGCUCUUGGUGGCCCAACACCUUAAUGAGACCCUUUAUAUUGGUUUUAUCUUUCAUUUGUCACCCAUCUGUAAACAUACGACCCGCUCUGUCCUGUGUGACCCAUGAAAUCUGUGUUUUACUCCCUUCUCCAUUUGUCUUUCUGUUCGCUAUAAAUGGCAAGGCUAUGUAUAGUGUUUGUUCACUACAUUUUUUAUGUGAAUUUCCAAUGUUUCCCUUCACAGAGAACAGAGGCUACUAGAAGAGCAUAUAAAAGGAACAGUGAGUUUUGAUGUAUUUAAGUUGUUGGUCCCCUUUUACAUUUUGCUCUUUCUGACACCUACUACAUCAUUAGUCAGUUAUUCAGUCAAGACAUGGAACUAUUGUAAACAGGAACUAUUGUAAGUGGGGCCAAAUGUCCUGUCAGUCACGUCUACCUGAAAUACAGUCGGAAUGUAGCAUGGGUUUAGUCUGAACAAAGGUUGAUUAGAUCUUGUGACUGUGCAUUGUUCGCACUACCCUCUCAUAAUAGAUAACGG
rnacentral:lncRNA from 1 species